GUCACCUGUCUGCAGCAGCUGGUCCCUCUCACUUCCUGGUUUGUUAACUCUGCUCGUCUCUGUUUGUAGCAACAAGAACAUCUGGGUUCUGCUCCUGGAAAGGACGAAGCCGACUCUUAACACGGCGUCACCCUGGAAGACCGUACGGUUGGGCGUUCAGACGACGGCUAACUUUAAUUCCAUCAAGGUAAGAGGAAGCUCUUCCCUUCCUGUCUGAGCGAUCCGUCUCCAGGUUUCCUCGUCCGGCGUCCAGCCCGCUGGCGUCCACCUUCAUCUCACCUUCAUCUCAUCUCACUUCAUUUAUAGUGCAAUACUUUCACAUUAUCAUUUUCCCACACUUCUGUAUACCUGUAUUUUGUUGUUUUUCAAUAAAGAAUGACAAAUUA